UGGGGAAUUUUGGACAAUGGGCGAAAGCCUGAUCCAGCAAUGCCGCGUGUGUGAAGAAGGCCUUCGGGUUGUAAAGCACUUUUGUCCGGAAGAAUACUCUGGGUUAAUACCUCGGGGGGAUGACGGUACCGGAAGAAUAAGCACCGGCUAACUACGUGCCAGCAGCCGCGGUAAUACGUAGGGUGCAAGCAUUAAUCGGAAUUACUGGGCGUAAAGCGUGCGCAGGCGGUUUUGUAAGACGGAUGUGAAAUCCCCGGGCUUAACCUGGGAACUGCAUUCGUGACUGCAAGGCUAGAGUAUGGCAGAGGGGGGUUAGAAUUCCACGUGUAGCAGUGAAAUGCAUAGAGAUGUGGAGGAAUACCGAUGGCGAAGGCAGCCCCCUGGGCCAAUACUGACGCUCAUGCACGAAAGCGUGGGGAGCAAACAGGAUUAGAUACCCUGGUAGUCCACGCCCUAAACGAUGUCAACUAGUUGUUGGGGAUUCAUUUCCUUAGUAACGUAGCUAACGCGUGAAGUUGACCGCCUGGGGAGUACGGUCGCAAGAUUAAAACUUAAAGGAAUUGACGGGGUCAUAGCUGUUUCC
rnacentral:rRNA from 1 species